rnacentral:rRNA from 1 species
CCCUUAGACGUUCUGGGCCGCACGCGCGCUACACUGACCAGUGCAACAAGCAUCCGUCCUUGGCCGACAGGCUCGGGCAAUCUUUGAACGCUGGUCGUGAUGGGGAUAGACUUUUGCAAUUUUUGGUCCUCAACGAGGAAUUCCUAGUAAACGCAAGUCAUCAACUUGCAUUGAUUACGUCCCUGCCCUUUGUACACACCGCCCGUCGCACCUACCGAUUGAAUGGUCCGGUGAAGCCUCCGGAUUGGCGCGCACCUCGGUGCCGCCGAGAAGUUGGCUAAACCUUACCAUUUAGAGGAAGGUGAANUCGUANCA